rnacentral:lncRNA from 1 species
UCUGUCCCCGCCCGCCUCCAGGAUACCAGGAACUGGGGACCGCGGCAGAGAGAGGGGACGGGCGAGAGAUGGGGCUGUGACCCUCAAGGCGCUCCCGAGUCGUGGUCUCCGCCGUCGCCUUCCUGGGCAGGAGCGCGGUGGGCCCAGCGUCGAGGAGCGACGCAGACCCCUUUUGCUGCUGGCCGUGACUCAGCCCCAGCAGUGUGAGCUAGAGUCCGGGCGCGUGCCUCCGGGAAGGCUGAAGGCCCAGAGGUCAUUGAAAACCACGUGCCGGGCAAUCCUGGGCAUACCCAUGAACGUGUCCUGUGUUCCCCAUGCCAGCACUGUCACCUACUGUCGUCAUAAGGUCCCUUUCCACAGCUGUAGCAGGUUGGAGACAUGGGCUGGGUUCCUGAACAGAACAUGAAAGACACCCGGUUCCAGCGAAGGGAGGUGCCUGGCAAGGCCUCAGCAGGGAAGAGGGCCUGAGGGCGGCUCCCACCUCUCCUCUAGCUGGCUCAGUGCUGGCUCACUCUGGAGGGCUGACAUGCCCUCUGGGGACUGCUGAGCUGCUGAUGCUU